CUUUGCAGCCCAGGAGUAGAACAGCUCCAGUAACAUAUGGGUCUCUGGUGUUAGCUUCCAAGGGUCAUGUCCAUGUGUCUCACCCUUGACUCUAGACUGUACCUUGAGAAAGCACCUACAUGCAACUGCCUCAUGCCUGAUCCUUAAUGCCCCAAAUUUUCACUGAUUGUGGGAGGAGAUGCAGCAAGAGACACCUGCUGUGGAGGCCAAUGCCCGUUUGUCGUUAUCAUUAGAGAUCAUUAAGAAUGAAGGAGACCUACUUGAGAGACUUGGACCACAAAACAAAGAGAAAAAAAAAUGUAUAUCUGUGAACUGAGAAACCACAAUGGCUUUUGAGGAAACAUUAGUGCAAAACAACAAAGUUACUUUUGCUGCCACAAGGAACAUGCAGUGUCCCUGCAUGUGACCAGAAAGUUGAUGAUCUGGGGAAUUCUUGGAAAGAAUCCACGACUACAAAGCCUGAAUGAGUGAUGAAGAUGUAAAUGAUAUUGAGAGAUUGGAAUUUUGCAAGUCCACAGACAAAUUCCCUGGGAACAUUUUAAGGCCUCUUAGUAGCCAAUUUUGUCCUCCUCUG
rnacentral:lncRNA from 1 species